rnacentral:tRNA from 1 species
AGGCUCAUGGUGUAAAUGGAAGCACCCAAGGUUACGACCCUUGAAGUAUAGGUUCAAAUCCUAUUGAGCUUA